UGGGGAAUUUUGUACAAUGGGGGAAACCCUGAUCCAGCCAUCCCGCGUGUGCGAUGAAGGCCUUCUGGUUGUAAAGCACUUUUGGCAGGAAAGAAACGUCAUGGGUUAAUACCCCGUGAAACUGACGGUACCUGCAGAAUAAGCACCGGCUAACUACGUGCCAGCAGCCGCGGUAAUACGUAGGGUGCAAGCGUUAAUCGGAAUUACUGGGCGUAAAGCGUGCGCAGGCGGUUCGGAAAGAAAGAUGUGAAAUCCCAGAGCUCAACUUUGGAACUGCAUUUUUAACUACCGGGCUAGAGUGUGUCAGAGGGAGGUGGAAUUCCGCGUGUAGCAGUGAAAUGCGUAGAUAUGCGGAGGAACACCGAUGGAGAAGGCAGCCUCCUGGGAUAACACUGACGCUCAUGCACGAAAGCGUGGGGAGCAAACAGG
rnacentral:rRNA from 1 species